AUUGAACGCUGGCGGCAGGCUUAACACAUGCAAGUCGAGCGGGGUGAUGGUGCUUGCACUAUCACUUAGCGGCGGACGGGUGAGUAAUGCUUAGGAAUCUGCCUAUUAGUGGGGGACAACAUCUCGAAAGGGAUGCUAAUACCGCAUACGUCCUACGGGAGAAAGCAGGGGAUCACUUGUGACCUUGCGCUAAUAGAUGAGCCUAAGUCGGAUUAGCUAGUUGGUGGGGUAAAGGCCUACCAAGGCGACGAUCUGUAGCGGGUCUGAGAGGAUGAUCCGCCACACUGGGACUGAGACACGGCCCAGAGUCCUACGGGAGGCAGGAGUGGGGAAUAUUGGACAAUGGGGGGAACCCUGAUCCAGCCAUGCCGCGUGUGUGAAGAAGGCCUUAUGGUUGUAAAGCACUUUAAGCGAGGAGGAGGCUCUUUUGGUUAAUACCCAAGAUGAGUGGACGUUACUCGCAGAAUAAGCACCGGCUAACUCUGUGCCAGCCGCCGCCGUAA
rnacentral:rRNA from 1 species